AUGAUGAAUGUAGAAGAAGAGGUUGAAAAGCUCAGGGAAGAAAUCAAGAGGCUUGGAGAGGUUCAAACAGAUGGUUCUUACAAGGUUACAUUUGGAAUACUCUUUCACGAUGAUCGGUGCGCAAAUAUAUUUGAAGCGCUUGUUGGCACACUACGAGCUGCCAAAAAGCGUAAAGUAGUUACCUACGAUGGCGAGCUACUGUUGCAGGGAGUCCAUGAUAAUGUGGAAAAUACUUCCAAAAGAAUGGUAGAACACAAGGAGUUGAAGUAUACCAUAAAGAGAAUCAAGAGACCGGGGUUGAGACGGUAUACUACCAUUCAAUAA